rnacentral:misc_RNA from 1 species
UACGGAGGGUGCAAGCGUUAUCCGGAUUCACUGGGUUUAAAGGGAGCGUAGGAGGGCAGGUAAGUCAGUGGUGAAAUCUUUGGGCUUAACCCGAAAACUGCCAUUGAUACUAUCUGUCUUGAAUAUUGUGGAGGUGAGCGGAAUAUGUCAUGUAGCGGUGAAAUGCUUAGAUAUGACAUAGAACACCGAUUGCGAAGGCAGCUCGCUACACAUAUAUUGACUCUGUGGCUCGAAAGCGUGGGGAUCAAACAGG